CACACACACACACACACACACACACACACACACACACACACACACACACCCCUACCUCUCUUGUUUAUAGAAACACAGUGAGGAAAAAAGUCAUGUUUUACUAAACCAUGAGCCUAAAAGAUAAAGGACUGCUCAGAUAUUAUGGUGAUAGGCUCCAAAAUAACCAUUUAAAAUUGGUUUUUAAAAAUAUACACCAGACAAUAGCAUUAGGAAGAAAACAGAGCAGAGAGAAGAGAGGAAAGACAAGCAAUUAAACAAUGAGAGGGAGGGAGCAGGAAGGCAAACAUAGCAGCUGAUUAUAAGACUAGAUAAAAGAAAAAUAAGACAAGACACACCUUAUGACAGAGAUUGCUAUCACAUCACAUGGGUUGGUUCAGUACCAUUUAAGUCACAAGUAAGUUAGUUCACUAGAAGUCUAAAAAUCUACUUUUAAAAUAAUUACACACAAAAACACUACAUUAAAAGAAUAUUAAGGUUGCAAACUCAAGCACCGUGCAACCUUAAUUCAGUUCCCGUGUGCAUAUUCAUUAUGAGAGUAAGCACAUGAUUGCAUACUAGUUUUGCCACAGGAUCCCUGCCUCUUUUAUAACUUGAGUUUACAGCUUGGCCAAAUAUGUGCAAAUUUUCAUGGAGAUGACAAAAGGCAUAUCCCUGACACUAAAACCACUCCCCAUCAAAUUUCAAGUCCCUGCUCCAAGCAUUGGGGAGGGAAGGGGGAGGAAAGGGGGCGCUUGAGCUGUUCAAAGAAAAGAUUGCCAGAUUGUUUUUAAAUAUGGGUAAUCCACGUAUUUAUCCCUAGCCCCGUCUUUGAAACAGCUAAACCAUUUUAGCUGAAAUUUUCCAAAAAAUUCAGCCCAACUUGCACAGCCAGCAUGUAAAAUUUCAGCCCAAAUGGUUACAGUUUGGCAAAGUUAAAAGAAACUGAAAAAAACAAACUGACUCUUAAAAUGGGAGUCAGGCAAAAUUUUACACAGGGCAAUGUGGAAUAUUUGAUGCAAAAAAGAAAUAAAUUAAAUUUAAAAUAAUCCAGAGAACAAAAAUUUCAAUAUGGCUCCAAUAUCAUGGCAAGUCAGUUCUUAGGUCUAACAAGCUUGACAAUAUUCUUUUAAAAAUCUACCUGAAGAAACGUUAACUUUACUCUCAACUCCGAAUGUGAACUUUAUUUUUCUUAAAGAAAAAAGUGCCUCUAGAUAUUGCUUUAUAAUAAUAAGAAAAAUAGAAAAAGAACAUGAAAUACAAUAGAAAAGCAAUAAAUCCUCUCUUGGGUCUUUGUCCUCCCAGACUCCAAACGUAUCAAAGUCCACCUCUGUUUAAAAUGUCUUUUUCUGUUAUAGCCACUUAGACACAGGAGACCUGUUCAGAAACAAGUUUGUGAAACUAUGCUGGGAAAGGAAUGAACGAGUGUUUAAUUGAUUUGUCUUCAAAAUCAACAGAAAUAAAACUAAUUUAAUUGGCUUGUAAUAGAUCUCAGCCAUUAUACAAAAGUUGUUUCCUCCAAAGUGUUUCAAAUAUCAGGAAAAAUAUUAAUACUGGUGAUAAACUAAUACGACCGAACAACCCCCCAAAAAAAGUUCCUGAAUAUGUUCUGUACAGUAAAUAUUUAGUUUCUGAUCAUGGAACAGAGUUUAAAGCACUUGCUUAGAAAUCUACAGAAACAAUGUCAUAUAUUUUUGUGACACAGCGGCCACUUAAUUUUUUUCCGCAGUGCCCAUUACUACAGUAUCUGACCAGUGAAGCAGUACAUUAAAGCUGCUUGCCAUUGUCCACAGUGGAUUUCAUACAGGAGUCCUCUCAUAGCCAUAACAAAUUCUAGGAACAUAAAGUUCUGUUUUUGUGUUUUUUUCCUGUUUGUUGAAACAGUCGUUCAAAUGGUAACAGAACCCCAACCACACCCCCUGUAUUUCCAUACAAUUCUGUAUAAUAUGACAUGAACUCAGAAGUUUAAUUGGUUGAUUGCUACAGUGAAAGAUCCCCCUCCCCUCUUCUAAGCAGAACUUUAAAUUUGAUUUUAAUUUUGAUUGUAAUUAAAGGUAACUUUAGGAUCUCUGCCUAUACACACAUUGUUUAAAAAAAAACCCACUAAUCUACAGUGUUCUCUGAAAUUUACAUAUAUAUAUUUUUCUGAGCUUCUAAAUUUAAUAAAAUUAGAUUCCCAAUUUUAUUUCUGAAGAUGAAAGAGAAUAAAGUUUCCUAAAAGUGAAACAAAGUUUACUAUUUGUGAUGAUAACCCAAACCAUAAACCCCUCCAAACCGGGAAGAGUUAAGAUAAGAAGAAAACCUUGGAAAAAAUGACCAAGCACAUUUUCUUCAUCUUGUUUCCUCAAAAACCAUACGAAAGUGUUGCACUCUUUUUUCAUAGAACCCAAGAUUAUUCUGUAUAUCAUAUCAUAUUAUAUUAUGCUAAUACUUUCUGAAAUGUUUUCCUUGUUCAUUUCUUGAUGGUUCUAUAAUUUGUUUUCUUGUCUAUCUGGAUAAAUGAAACCACCAUAGACUAAUAUUUUAAUCUUUUUUUAGAAGCACUUCCCCUUAUCAUAUUUACAUUUCCUAGUCUUCCUGCCAUUUUGCUUUGGAAAUUUUAUCAUCAUUCUACUAUGGAGGUAUUAAUCUACUAAAGAUUUAUUUUUAAAUCAAGAAGUACCACUCUUCAUGCAGCUAAGAUAAUGUGUUACAUUUAAUUCAGAAGUUAGCUCUUCCCUUAUGAAAGGUCAAUGAUUUGCUAAUGAGUCAGACUGAAAAAAAAGGUGCUUUGCAAUACUAACAUUUUCUGCGAUGUAAGUUAGAGCAGUGCAGUGGGAUUGUUCAUUGCUAUGGUAAAACAGAAACAGAAACAGAACCAGUAACAUUAAAGUUCCUGGUGACAGAUGAAGUAACUGAUAUUUCCCCAAAACAUUAUUUAAAACUUUGAAAAAAUAUUGCACUUGUAUCAAAGUGUUUUGUGAAAUAUUAAAUGCAGUUUGCAGGAGAAAAUAUCUUUCACCAACCACUGAUAGUUUACUCCGGAAAUUAUUACAUGAUGUAACUUGGUUUACAUAUGUGGUUUUCCUUUGACCUGUAGCACAGUGUUUAAUAUAUUCAUAGGUUGAAAUAAAACUUAGCUUUAACAAACACUGCAGAAAAACAAUACAAGAAUAUGGUUAGUAUUUGCAAAAAGAUUGUUUCUCAUUUGACUCAUCGUAUGCAGACAUGACAAUCUCAUAUUAAAGACCAGUACAAUUUCAAAACAGUUUUAACAACGGUUCCUUGCUGAAGAAGACUUUUGAUAAUAAGUGUACCUACUUCCCCUCUUAUAUUUCAGAUGUAUGCUUUUUCAGCUACCCAUUUCUCCCCCUCAGACCAGAUUCUCUUUCUGCUUGAUCCUGGAGUGAAAUCAUAAUGUUGCAUUUAUGACUUCACAUACUUUUAUGGCAACACAAUGAUGUCACAAAACAGGAUUAAUGACUUCACUAAUGGAGCAAGAAACAAGGAGAAAAUGAAAUCCAAUUCACACACAAGAAGAGAGAACCUGGCCAAUUAGUUCUCACUCACUAGUCAAUUCUGACAAUGCCAAAAGAACUGCUGCACAACCAAAGGAGAGGGAAAAUUAUUUGAGGAAAUAAGGCAUGUAACCAGAUUCAUUUUUCAAACUCCAAGAAAUGGAAGAAAAAAAAAAAAACUUUGAGAGAAAGAAAUGACAUUACCUGUUAUAAGGAAAAAACAAAAUGGUUGGGAGAUGAUCCGUCAUAAAUUCCCAUGGAAGGUCAUUUCGAGUGACAUCAAUUCUGUUAAAAAUGAAACAAAAAGAAAAAAUAAACUGAUAAAGAUGCA